UUGGAGGGCAAGUCUGGUGCCAGCAGCCGCGGUAAUUCCAGCUCCAAUAGCGUAUAUUAAAGUUGCUGCAGUUAAAAAGCUCGUAGUUGAAUUUCGGGACCAUCAUGUCGGUCGUGCCUCGGUACGUACUGGUAUUGUUGGUUUCUCCCUUCUGACGAACCAUGAUGUCAUUUAUUUGGUGUUGUGGGGAAUCAGGACUGUUACUUUGAAAAAAUUAGAGCGUUUAAAGCAGGCUCACGCUUGAAUACAUUAGCAUGGAAUAAUGAAAUAGGACGUUUGAUUCUAUUUUGUUGGUUUCUAGGAUCGACGUAUGAUUAAUAGGGAUAGUUGGGGGCAUUAGUAUUCAAUUGUCAGAGGUGAAAUUCUUGGAUUUAUUGAAGACUAACUACUGCGAAAGCAUUUGCCAAGGAUGUUUUCAUUAAUCAAGAACGAAAGUUAGGGGAUCGAAGACGAUCAGAUACCGUCGUAGUCUUAACCAUAAACUAUGCCGACUAGGGAUCGGAUGAUGUUAAUUUUUUAAUGACUCAUUCGGCGCCUUACGGGAAAC
rnacentral:rRNA from 1 species